rnacentral:lncRNA from 1 species
GGUGCUGAAACUGCCGCCCGGCUCCGGCGGCGCCGCGGCGCGGGGCGCGCUCGCCUGCCAUUUGCCGCUGCCGUGAGAGCCGAGCAAGGGGAGCUGGGGCUUGCUUGCUUGCUCCUCUUUGGCUGCUCCCUCUGAGGCUUCUGCAGUUAGGUUGCUACCCGUGGUGGCCCAGGGUAGACUCAUUCCUGUAUCUGGGAGCUGAGCAAGUGUGGGGUGACAUGGCCCAGGGGAAUAAUUAUGGGCAGACCAGCAACGGGGUGGCAGAUGAAUCGCCCAACAUGCUGGUGUACAGAAAGGUAAGAAUUUCUUCACUUUCUUGGAAAAAGGGAAACUUCUGGCUUCCUUGAUGGUUUUUCCCCCAGAUCGGAGUAUAUAUCAAGUCUGUGGCUUUGUAGAUUUCCCAGAUCACCGGUGACUGCACGCUAUACUUGAAGAUGACCUGACAUUCUGAAGUGGUGUACCUGUGUACAGACACAGUGUGGUCAGUGAGGCUGGUCGUACUCUGUCCUCACACCACCUCUGCCGAGUUUACACAAAUUAAUCUGUGGGCAGAAAUAACAGCAAGUUUGGGCAUCCCACAUAUUUCAUUUGUGAUCCAUAAUUACAUAGCAUCCAUAAUAAUCUUUAGAAGCUUUUUCUUAUACUCUCCCUAAGCAUUUAGGUUAUAAUGAUUAUAUAAAUGUAUAACGUUUUAAAAUCAAAAUGAACCACUUUGCAGCUCUGCAGCCAGGGUGAAUGUGUCUGUGACUGGAUGAGUGGUUUAAUGAUUUUACUCCUAACUAAACAAUUCUAGUUGGUUUUUUUUGGGUCUUAGCCUAAAUUAUUUUUUACUUUGUGUCAUUUUUAUGAUUUUGCUCUUGGGUAUUUAUGUUCUGGUGCCAUAUGUUCAUUAAAUGAAUUUUUAUAUUCCAGAGUAUCUUUUAUUUUUUGGCCACAACCAAUCUGACAGCUUUAUGCAUUAUAUGACAAUGCUAUCAGCAACAAACUUCUAGACAUCGAGCUACCGUAAUAAAGAUGUAUUCGAAUAUUAUGGGCGAUUCA